rnacentral:rRNA from 1 species
UAGUUGGAUCAUGGCUCAGGACGAACGCUGGCUGCGUGCUUAACACAUGCAAGUCGAACGCUGAAGCCCUGGUGCUUGCACCGGGGUGGAUGAGUGGCGAACGGGUGAGUAACGCGUAGGUAACCUGCCUUGUAGCGGGGGAUAACUAUUGGAAACGAUAGCUAAUACCGCAUAACAAUGGAUGACACAUGUCAUUUAUUUGAAAGGGGCAAUUGCUCCGCUACAAGAUGGACCUGCGUUGUAUUAGCUAGUAGGUGAGGUAAUGGCUCACCAAGACGACGACGGGUAGCCGGCCUGAGAGGGCGACCGGCCACACUGGGACUGAGACACGGCCCAGACUCCUACGGGAGGCAGCAGUGGGGAAUAUUGCACAAUGGGGGAAACCCUGAUGCAGCGACGCACGUGCGGGAUGACGGCCUUCGGGUUGUAACCGCUUUAAGCAGGGAAGAACCUUUAUCGGUGACGGUCCUGCAGAAGAAGUCCGGUUA